GAUGAACGCUGGUGGCGUGCCUAACACAUGCAAGUCGAGCGAUUCUCUUCGGAGAAGAGCGGCGGACGGGUGAGUAACGCGUGGGUAACCUGCCCUGUACACACGGAUAACAUGCCGAAAGGUAUGCUAAUACGGGAUAACAUGCUUUUAUCGCAUGGUAGAAGUAUCAAAGCUUUUGCGGUACAGGAUGGACCCGCGUCGGAUUAGCUAGUUGGUGAGGUAACGGCUCACCAAGGCGACGAUCAGUAGCCGACCUGAGAGGGUGAUCGGCCACAUCGGAAGUGAGACACGGUACAAACUCCUCCGGGAGGCAGCAGUGGGGAAUAUUGCACAAUGGGCGAAAGCCUGAUGCAGCAACGCCGCGUGAGCGAUGAAGGCCUUCGGGUCGUAAAGCGCUGUCCUCAAGGAAGAUAAUGACGGUACUUGAGGAGGAAGCCCCGGCUAACUACGUG
rnacentral:rRNA from 1 species